GGGGUUGUGGCUCAGAGGUAGAGUGCUUGCCUACUAUGCAUGAGACACUGGGUUCAAUCCUCAGCACCA
rfam:Ictidomys tridecemlineatus contig115835, whole genome shotgun sequence.